rnacentral:rRNA from 1 species
CAGUAGCCACGGUAAUACGUAGGGUCCGAGCGUUGUCCGGAAUUAUUGGGCGUAAAGGGCUCGUAGGCGGUUUGUUGCGUCGGGAGUGAAAACCCAGGGCUUAACUUUGGGCUUGCUUUCGAUACGGGCAGACUUGAGGCAUUGAGGGGAGAACGGAAUUCCUGGUGUAGCGGUGAAAUGCGCAGAUAUCAGGAGGAACACCGGUGGCGAAGGCGGUUCUCUGGCAAUGUUCUGACGCUGAGGAGCGAAAGUGUGGGGAGCGAACAGGAUUAGAUACCCCCGUAGUCCCUGUCUCUUAUAC